AUGGUAACACAGCUGGACCUUCCCUGCAAAUUCCUGUGACAAUUCAUAUAUGUUGUUCAUGUUGUGUGUCUCCUGUCAAAGUUUCUUAUGCUACGAGAACAUGUAUGUUUUUCUGAUUCUUGUGGGAAUUUCGAGCCGUUUCUGUCGAAAUUUCAACGGUCCAAACAGGGCUGCAUAAUGCAAAUGCAGUAUCUACACUAACGUUGUACCUAUAUUGCUGUAUUUUCAUUUUUUUUUGAAACAAAACAUUCUUCCAUGUUUUAAUUUGUUUUUGAAAUAAAACGUUCUUCCAGAGGCCGUUGCCUAGGGGCAGUGGGGCUCUCUGUCUCUUUUUGUGUGGGUCCCACGUGCAGUGGCGGCAGGCGUUGAGUGGAACUCAUCGCCGUCCUCGUCCAAUCCAAACCGCAGCAGAGCUGAGCACGCUGUAGCCGAGAAACGCACACCACGGCACGAUGCCACACGCCGCGUUCCUCCGCCCGCUCAUCCCGCCGCCUCUCGUCCCCGCGAGGCCGCUCGCCGCGCGAUGCCGCCACCUUCGCGGCGUCCGCGGGAGUUGCGCCCCCGGCGAGGGCGCGGGCGAGGGCGCCCCCGGCGCGGAGUGGCUGAGCUCGGCGGUCGGGGAGAAGGUGGACGAGCUGCUGCGGCGCGAGGAGAACCGGGCGCUGCUGGACGGGGUCGAGGCCGCCGAGCGCCGCGUGGAGCUCGCCCGCGCCAAGCUCGCGGACAUCGAGCGCCAGGAGGCCGCCGCCCGCCUCGCCACCGAGGAGGUCCGCCGCCUCGAGAGGCGCCGGGACGAGGUACGCGACAUCAUAAGCCGCGGCUGCACGUAACCUGUUCGAUGCUUUGCCUGCUCGGCUCGACCAGUGGUGCUCUGGCGUUGCGUGGGUCACUCGUAGGAGGGCGACCAUACGUGAGCGGCCAGUGGGCAGUCAGUACGUAGCACGGACCGCCACCGUCACCCUCAGUGCGCCGCUGCUUAUUUCUGGCGCGAUUCUACGCUACUGUGGAUAUGGACAUAUGGUAGUACCGCUGCCUACCAUGUCUCUACCAUGUUUGGUGACCGCCGCUCUUGUGUUUGAACUAAUGUGGCGCCGACGAACUUGAAGGACGAUGAAUGGUGCUCUUUAAUUGGCCAAACAAUAGAAGCUCUCAGUAGGCGCAUGUGGUUCGUCAAGGCAAUGUGUGCCGUGCAGAGCGGUGGGACUGCGAUAGACGGACUAGAUGCAGGGAAUGUGAGAUUUCCUUGAGUUUUAUUUGCUCACAGACGAGAGAAGAACUUGUUGAGUCUAGAUAGUUUUAAGAAGCCUGAUGGGUGCCAUAUUGGCUUCUAUCAGUAGACUUUUCCACCCUUUUUGGUUCAAGGCUUCAGGACGCCCUGUUGUUUGUUUGGUAAACUGAGAUAAUGAGAUGCUUCCAUUUCUUCUUCCAACAUGAAGUACUAGUGGUGGCAUGUGCCAUGUUCAUGUGGUCCCGUGAUGAUGAAGCAGAAUGAUUUAUUGGUUGUGAUAUCAACUUUAUAUGAUCAUACAGUUCUGUAAUCAUCAAAAUACCUUUCCUUCAAUAGUCAUAGGAAGACAUCAGUUUUUUCUUGCUUGAUGCAUUUCUUCAUAACAUACUAUAUGUUUAUAAUGCUGCGUUACUUAAACAAGAUUGCAGAGUCACAGCGGGAAUUGCUACAGGCAAGAGAAAUGAUUGAUGAAGCACAGUGUACCUUGACUUCUAGCCUUGAGGAUCGAAGCUUUUGGAAUACGUCAGGUGGAGAAGAUAUCGAUAAAGAUAGUGAGAGGCUUGAAUCUGCAAAAGCUGCAGCAAUUUCCUCUAUAAUCGGUGUUCUGGCUAGUUUGCCCAUAUCUUCCUAUGAAGUCCACAGUUUGCCCCAACUGUUUUUUCGAUCAUCGGUUGUUCUCAUAAGUUGUGCAUUGUUUGGAGUCACAUUCCGGUAUGCCGUUAGAAGAGAUCUGGAUAAUAUCCAGCUUAAAACAGGAGCUGCUGCCGCAUUCGCUGUUGUUAGAGGUAAAACUAGAUGAUGCCAUUGCUAAAAACUUCUCGGCAAAUAUUCCUUUGCACGGUUAUUUUCUUCACUGAAACUGAAUUGCUUGCAGGUCUUGCUUUGUUGGAAUCUGGGAGGCCCUUUGAGUUGAGCACUGAUGCCUUAAUGUCACUUGCUCUUGAUGGUGCAGUUAGUGUUGUUGGGAGCAUUUUUAUAUUUCUGUCUUCUGCUAUUGCACUGGACUAUUGUUUUAAGAUGGGAUUUUUGAGCCCAUUCCCUGCAAGGAAACAAUAGGUUCUGUGAAUAAUCAGGAAUGUCAACACAUAUAUUGGCUACUGCAUUGUAAUAUGUAAUGUUGCUGAUUUCUUAGAUUCAUGAUGGCAAAUAUUUCCCUGUGCAACCACCGUUUCCUCAAGUUUAUCAAAUAAUGCUUUCUGUUUAUUAGCUGUAUCUUGUCUUGUUUCCUCAAAUCUUAUACUCCCUCUGUCCCAAAAUAAGUGUCUUUGAUUUAGUACAACUUUGUUGUGUAAUUGAAUUUUGCUUCCUUUGUAUGUGUUCGUCCUGUAUGAUUGACUGGCCCCGAAUGCAAUUAUUUGUUUCUGUUCCUCCCAUAUCAUUGAUCUUCGUCCCCAGUGGAAUAUUUGAUUUUCUCUUGAAUUAAAUGCUUUCGAUAUCUGUUUCACAGGUUUCGCACCAGCCUUUUGUGAAAUGUUGCACAACCUUGUAUCCGGUUCUCAGUUCAAAAAAGAAAAAGGAAAUCUGGCAUGUCCAUGUAUCAAUCUUCAUCUUUGCGCGGUGGGAAUUCCCUACUCCUUAUGAUCGUCCAAUGUUUUGAAAUACUAAUGAAGAAGCAACAUUGUGUGAUAGCUUUCUUAUUAAUGCUAUGUACAGUACUUGUCUACUACUGUUCUUCCAUCCAUUUCUUGAUUGCUGUUGAGCAACUAGCUGCUGAACUGUGCUGAAAUUUGAUACAGUGUUAUUCUGGUAUUUCAUAAAGCGCCAAGCUGGAUGGAGCCUGGGGACAUGUUAUUGCAUUACAAAUAUGGGUCCGCGUGAAGUUGCUACUGUAGAUAGAUGGAUGUAGAGCGGGCAUUUCUGCUCUUGUGAGAUUUGGCUACAUGUACCUGGGGCUCUCUUCAUCCAUCAAGAUUGUGGACGCAGCCUGUAACUGUUGAAAGUCGGAGCUUGCUGGCAUUGCAAAGAAGACAUGCAUGUCUCAGCUCCAUGCUGAAUGGUGGUGGUGGUGGGGGAUUGUGCAGGGAAAGCGUCUUAUGAACCGUCAUACGGACAAAGGUUGCCUCUCGUGUUCUCUUGUAUUAUUAUUUUGAUGAUAACCUGAUGAACGUGGUAUUAUCUUGCACGUAUGGUUAAUGUUGACCAGUUUUGGAGCAAACAGCCACACGUGGUCUGUCAUGAGAACAUCUUUGGAUGCAUUGUAUGUGGUAAGCUAAUUAGAGAGAGAGAACAAAUGUAAACCACCUAUAUGUUUGCCUCUUGCUAUUGUAUAUACAAUGAUUUUUUUCGAACCUGACCCUUGAAACUUCCUAACGUGUUUCAGCAGAAAAUUUUCCCAAUAGCUUGCACAUACUUUCUUCAUUUGCUUCAAUAUAAAGAAUGCAAGAUCAAACAUCUCAGUUCAUAGAACAUGAUUGCCUUGACAUGGCAUACAGCUUGAAAAAGGCACCAAAAACAUCAUCAACAUUUGAAUACUAAUUAGUCCCGAGGGAGGGAUGGGGGUAUUGGGGAGGGGCAUUCUUACUCUUGUACCAUCCAGGUUGAAUGCAAAAUUGAUAUAGAUCACUUGAGAAAUUGUAGCAAAGAAAAGAGAAUAAACAGUAUUGACAUCUAAAAAUGUGGAUAUUAGCAACCUGCAACCGUACUAUUACUUUUAAAAAUGCAAGCAAAAUACUGGGGACAUGUGACCGAACUUCUGCCCACAAGUUAUACGUAUCUGCCAGCCAUUAGCUGCCAAUGUAGUUCUACACUGGGACUGGUAGAACCAGGGGUCCUACCGGACCUGCUCCGGAGGUUGUAGGGAAAGGAUGGAGCGGGACGGGGCGAUGAUCGGGCGCGCCGGCGGCUGGGCGCCGUCGCGUCGGAGGGAGAAGGCGGCGGCGGCUAGGGUUAGAGGCGGCUAGGGUUCCGGCUCCUCUGGGAGCCGGGCAAUAGGGAUAAUAAUAUUCUUAUUGCUUAAUUUCAAAAAGUCUUACAGCCUAUAUUUAUAACUUAGAUAACUUGCAUAAGAAUUAACCUAAGAUAACUGGUGGGCCAAGCCCCUAACUACUGCCCGGUGGGCCUCCUCCGGUUAUAAGCUAAACCGGUCAUAACACUUCUCCCCGCCUGCACAAACAGCUCGUCCUCGAGCUGUAAGGUGGGGAAGCUGAAAGAUCGUCGAUGUCGCCUAGAGGGGGAGGGGGGGGGGGGUGAAUAGGCGCUUUAAAAUAAUUACGGUUGAGGCUUGAACAAAUGCGGAAUAAACCUAGCGGUUAAUUUGUCAAGCACAAAACCUAUAACAACUAGGCUCACCUAUGUGCACCAACAACUUAUGCUAAGCAAGAAAACCUACUUAGGUGAUAGCAAGAUAUAUGACAAGAAACAAUAUGGCUAUCACAAAGUAAAGUGCAUAAGUAAAGGGCUCGGGUAAGAGAUAACCGAGGCACGCGGAGACGACGAUGUAUCCCAAGUUCACACCCUUGCGGAUGCUAAUCUCCGUUUGGAGCGGUGUGGAGGCACAAUGCUCCCCAAGAAGCCACUAGGGCCACCGUAAUCUCCUCACGCCCUCGCACAAUGCAAGAUGCCGUGAUUCCACUAAGGGACCCUUGAGGGCGGUCACCGAACCCGUACAAAUGGCAACCCUUGGGGGCGGUCACGGAACCCGUACACUUUGGCAACCCUUGGGGGCGGUCACCGGAACCCGUCAAAUUGCUCAGGGCGAUCUCCCCAACCUAAUUGGAGACACCGACGCUUGCCCGGAGCUUUACACCACAAUGAUUGAGCUCCGAACACCACCAACCGUCUAGGGCGCCCAAGCACCCAAGAGGAACAAGCUCAAGGGUACCAAGCACCCAAGAGUAAUAAGCUUCUCAACUUGUAACUUCCACGUAUCACCGUGGAGAACUCAAACCGAUGCACCAAAUGCAAUGGCAAGGGCACACGGAGUGCCCAAGUCCUUCUCUCUCAAAUCCCACCGAAGCAACUAAUGCUAGGGAGGAAAAUGAGAGGAAGAACAAGAAGGAGAACACCAAGAACUCCAAGAUCUAGAUCCAAGGGGUUCCCCUCACAUAGAGGAGAAAGUGAUUGGUGGAAAUGUGGAUCUAGAUCUCCUCUCUCUUUUCCCUCAAAAACUAGCAAGAAUCCAUGGAGGGAUUGAGAGUUAGCAAGCUCGAAGAAGGUCAACAAUGGGGGAAGAACACGAGCUCCAAGGAUAAGGUUCAAUGGGGAAGAAGACCCCCUUUUAUAGGUGGGGGAAAAUCCAACCGUUAUGCUCACAGCCAGCACAGAGCGGUACUACCGCUAGGGCAGUAGUACCCCUUUGAAAAACAACAGCGAGGAGGCAAAAGGCCAGUAGAACCGCCGGAGCGGUACUACCGCUCGUCCCCACGGUACUACCGCUCGACCUCACGAUACUACCGCAAGUGGUAGCGGUACUACUGCUUGCGAGCGGUACAACAAAAAUUUACUUCCGUGCCUACUUCCGCUGAGCAAAACACGAGAUUUUGGUCCGGAGCGGUACUACCGCUCAGGAGCCGCGGUAGUACAGCUCUGGAGCGGUACUACCGCUCAGGAGCCACGGUAGUACCGCUCCCAAGAGCGGUACUAAAAAAUUACAUCCGCAGCAGCCCCUUUAAAGGACACCAAAACUGGCACAACUUCUGCAAACGGACUCCGAAUUCGACGAAACCAAGUUUGUUGGAAAGCUAGCGACAAGGGCUAACACAAUCUUGAUAGAAAUACCAAUAAGAAGCAAAUGAGAAAAGGCCCAAAAGAAAAUGGUGAGAACCCUUCCUCGGAUAAGACCGGUAAAACCUCCAACAUCGAAAACAUCAUAGAAGAUGCAUGCAAACUCCGUUUUCGAUGAACUCAAGCUUGUCAUCAAGAUGACCAUAAGCUCUAAGACUCACAAAGAGAACCAAGAAACAUGAUGCAAUGAUGCAAUGGUUUGAGCUCUCGACGAACGAUACGAUCAAGCUACUCACUUGAGAGCCCCCCUUGAUAGUACGACUAUCGAUCAUAUAACCCGGUCUCCCAACUACCACCAUGAGACCGGUAAAAUAGAAAACCUAUCAAGGGCAAACCUUUGCCUUGCACAUGGUCCACUUGAGCUAGAUGAUGACGAUCUUGACAACCUCAAGUUGGACCACCUUUCUUGAUUGCGUUGGCUCGAUGAAGACUAGAUGAUUACUCCCCCAUAGUCCACUAUGGGUGAGCCACUCUUCGGCACAUCUUCACAAGUCCAUUGUCACCACAAUGGAUGGCAAGCUUCAAGCACUUGAUCUCUUCGUGAUGCUCCACUUGAACUUGCACACGGCAACCUUGAUGACGAUCACCACUUGAUGUCAUCCUCUCCACGGGUUGAGUGAUAUCUUCCUCUUGACGCAAGCCCAUGAACACGUACCUAACCCCACACAGAACUCUCACAUAGACCAUGGGUUAGUACACAAAGCACAAUGGACAAUGAUUACCAUACCAUGGGAUCACUUGAUCCCUCUCGGUACAUCUUCUACGCUUUGUGAGUUGAUCAACUUGAUUCACUCUUGACUUAGUCUUGAUCAACCUAGAAUCUUUCCAACUCUCGGAUGAUGUCUUGAAGGUAAACAUGAAUGAUCACACAAUCUUCUUCUUCAAGACAUGCUUGCAAUAAGCUCAACUCUCACAUGACCAAUCUUUGGAUAAUUCCUUAAUAGCACCUUGGUCAACACAAACUCUCCUUGAAACCAACACAUGUACUCCAAGAAAAGCCUAUGGACAAAACCUUCAAAUAUAACUCAAGGCAACCAUUAGUCCAUAGAGAUUGUCGUCAAUUACCAAAACCAAACAUGGGGGCACCACAUGUUCUUUCAGUCUCCCCCAUUUUGGUAAUUGAUGACAAUCACUUUCAAGAGAGUUUAUAUAAAGAAUUAUGCAUCACCAUGCAAUGCAACAACCAAUGAUGCAUGAGUAAGAGAUGCAAAUGCUUAGGAACAAAACCAAAGCAAGAGGAGAGAAUUCUCUAAACUUCUCCACAAAACUCUCUGAAACUUCUCCUCCAUUGGCAUCGAUUGCGAAAAUGGGAGAAAAGCUUAGAAGGCCAAUAUAAAUUGUGUUCCUCCAUAAUUUGUGUAUUUCUCAACAAGAGAGUGGAAUGCAAUACACAAGUUUGACGGUAAAUACUAGGAGGAAAACAAACUAUAUUUAGGCCCAAAGUUUACAAAAGAAAGAUAUGCCACAAAGACAUAAGAAAGAGAGAAACAAGCAAACAAGCAAUCAAAAGAUACCAAUUGAAGCAAGCAAUCAACGGAUAUCAAUUGAGCCAACUAGACCAAUGAUCCUACGUGCCACAUGAAUGAAAUAAAUUAUGAUAUGAGCAAAGGAGUGUUCUAGAGAAACUAGAGAAGCUCCCCAUGAUUUGUGCACAAUUUAGUUUUGUAACUGUUGGAAAUAUGCCCUAGAGGCAAUAAUAAAUGGUUAUUAUUAUAUUUAUUUGUUCAUGAUAAUUGUCUAUUGUUCAUGCUAUAAUUGUGUUAUCCGGAAAUCGUAAUACAUGUGUGAAUACAUAGACCACAACGUGUCCCUAGUAAGCCUCUAGUUGACUAGCUCGUUGAUCAACAGAUAGUCAUGGUUUCCUGACUAUGGACAUUGGAUGUCAUUGAUAACGGGAUCACAUCAUUAGGAGAAUGAUGUGAUGGACAAGACCCAAUCCUAAGCAUAGCUCAAAGAUCGUGUAGUUCGUUUGCUAGAGCUUUUCCAAUGUCAAGUAUCUUUUCCUUAGACCAUGAGAUCGUGCAACUCCCGGAUACCGUAGGAGUGCUUUGGGUGUACCCAACGUCACAACGUAACUGGGUGACUAUAAAGGUACACUACGGGUAUCUCCGAAAGUGUCUGUUGAGUUGGCACGGAUCGAGACUGGGAUUUGUCACUCCGUAUGACGGAGAGGUAUCUCUGGGCCCACUCAGUAAUGCAUCAUCAUAAUGAGCUCAAUGUGACUAAGGAGUUAGCCACGGGAUCAUGCAUUACGGUACGAGUAAAGAGACUUGCCGGUAACGAGAUUGAACAAGGUAUUGGGAUACCGACGAUCGAAUCUCGGGCAAGUAACAUACCGUUUGACAAAGGGAAUUGUAUACGGGAUUGAUUGAAUCCUCGACAUCGUGGUUCAUCCGAUGAGAUCAUCGUGGAACAUGUGGGAGCCAACAUGGGUAUCCAGAUCCCACUGUUGGUUAUUGACUGGAGAGGCGUCUCGGUCAUGUCUGCAUGUCUCCCGAACCCGUAGGGUCUACACACUUAAGGUUUGGUGACGCUAGGGUUGUAGAGAUAUUAGUAUGCGGAAACCCGAAAGUUGUUCGGAGUCCCGGAUGAGAUCCCGGACGUCACGAGGAGUUCCAGAAUGGUCCGGAGGUGAAGAAUUAUAUAUGGGAAGUCCAGUUUCGGCCACCGGGAAAGUUUCGGGGGUUAUCGGUAUUGUACCGGGACCACCGGAAGGGUCCCGGGGGUCCACCGGGUGGGGCCACCUGUCCCGGAGGGCCCCAUGGGCUGAAGUGGGAAGGGAACCAGCUCUUAGUGGGCUGGGGCGCCCGCCUUUGGGCCUCCCCCUGCGCCUAGGGUUGGAAACCCUAGGGGUGGGGGGCGCCCCACUUGGCUUGGGGGGAAGCCACCCCCCUUUCCCCUUGGCCGCCGCCCCCCCAUGUAGAUUGGUUCCAGGGCCGGCGCCCCCCUCCAAGGGGCCUAUAAAUAGUGGGGGGGGGGGAGGGAGGGCAGCAAUACCACAGCCCCUGGCGCCUCCCUCUCCCCCUGCAACACCUCUCCCUCUCGCAGAAGCUUGGCGAAGCCCUGCCGAGAUCCCGCUACAUCCACCACCACGCCGUCGUGCUGCUGGAUCUCCAUCAACCUCUCCUUCCCCCUUGCUGGAUCAAGAAGGAGGAGACGUCGCUGCUCCGUACGUGUGUUGAACGCGGAGGUGCCGUCCGUUCGGCACUCGGUCAUCGGUGAUUUGGAUCACGACGAGUACGACUCCAUCAACCCCGUUCAUUGGAACGCUUCCGCUCGCGAUCUACAAGGGUAUGUAGAUGCACUCCUUUCCCCUCGUUGCUAGUAUAUUCCAUAGAUGGAUCUUGGUGAUGCGUAGGAAAUUUUAAAAUUUUGCUACGAUCCCCAACGGUGGCAUCAUGAGCCAGGCCUAUGCGUAGUUACUAUGCACGAGUAGAACACAAAGCAGUGGUGGGCGUAGAUGUUGCCAAUUCUUCUUGCCGCUACUAGUCUUAUCUUGUUUCGGCGGUAUUGUGGGAUGAAGCGGCCCGGACCGACCUUACACGUACGCUUAUGUGAGACAGAUUCCACCGACUGACAUGCACUAGUUGCAUAAGGUGGUUAGCGGGUGUCUGUCUCUCCCACUUUAGUCGGAACGGAUUCGAUGAAAAGGGUCCUUAUGAAGGGUAAAUAGAAAUUGGCAUAUCACGUUGUGGUUUUACGUAGGUAAGAAACGUUCUUGCUAGAAACCUAUACAAGCCACGUAAAAACUUGCAACAACAAUUAGAGGACGUCUAACUUGUUUUUGCAGCAUGUGCUAUGUGAUGUGAUAUGGCCAGAAGAUGUGAUGAAUGAUAUAUGUGAUGUAUGAGAUUGAUCAUAUUCUUGUAAUAGGAAUCACGACUUGCAUGUCGAUGAGUAUGACAACCGGCAGGAGCCAUAGGAGUUGUCUUUAUUUUUUGUAUGACCUGCGUGUCAUUGAAUAACGCCAUGUAAAUUACUUUACUUUGUUGCUAAACGCGUUAGCCAUAGAAGUAGACGUAAUCGUUGGCGUGACAACUUCAUGAAGACACAAUGAUGGAGAUCAUGGUGUCAUGCCGGUGACGAAGAUGAUCAUGGUGCCCCGAAGAUGGAGAUCAAAGGAGCAAAAUGAUAUUGGCCAUAUCAUGUCACUAUUUGAUUGCAUGUGAUGUUUAUCAUGUUUUGCAUCUUAUUUGCUUAGAACGACGGUAGUAAGUAAGAUGAUCCCUUAUAAUAAUUUCAAGAAAGUGUUCCCCCUAACUGUGCACCAUUGCGAAGGUUCGUUGUUUCAAAGCACCACGUGAUGAUCGGGUGUGAUAGAUUCUAACGUUCGCAUACAACUGGUGUUGACGAGCCUAGCAUGUACAGACAUGGCCUCGGAACACACGCAAUACACUUAGGUUGACUUGACGAGCCUAGCAUGUACAGACAUGGCCUCGGAACACGGAGGACCGAAAGGUCGAGCAUGAGUCGUAUAGAAGAUACGAUCAACAUGGAGAUGUUCACCGAUCUUGACUAGUCCGUCUCACGUGAUGAUCGGACACGGCCUAGUUAACUCGGAUCAUGUUUCACUUAGAUGGCUAGAGGGAUGUCUAUCUGAGUGGGAGUUCAUUGAAUAAUUUGAUUAUAUGAACUUAAUUAUCAUGAACUUAGUCUAAAAUCUUUACAAUAUGUCUUGUAGAUCAAAUGGCCCACGUUGUCCUCAACUUCAACGCGUUCCUAGAGAAAACCAAGCUGAAAGAUGAUGGCAGUAACUAUACGGACUGGGUCCGGAACCUGAGGAUCAUCCUCAUAGCUGCCAAGAAAGAUUAUGUCCUAGAAGCACCGCUAGGUGAAGCACCAAUCCCAGAGAACCAAGACGUUAUGAACGCUUGGCAAUCACGUGCUGAUGAUUACUCCCUCGUUCAGUGCGGCAUGCUUUACAGCUUAGAACCGGGGCUCCAAAAGCGUUUUGAGAAGCAUGGAGCAUAUGAGAUGUUCGAAGAGCUGAAAAUGGUUUUCCAAGCUCAUGCCCGGGUCGAGAGAUAUGAAGUCUCCGACAAGUUCUUCAGCUGUAAAAUGGAGGAAAAUAGUUCUGUUAGUGAGCACAUACUCAGAAUGUCUGGGUUGCACAACCGCUUGUCUCAGCUGGGAGUUAAUCUCCCGGAUGACGCGGUCAUUGACAGAAUCCUUCAGUCGCUCCCACCAAGCUACAAGAGCUUUGUGAUGAACUUCAAUAUGCAGGGGAUGGAAAAGACCAUUCCUGAGGUAUAUUCAAUGCUGAAAUCAGCGGAGGUGGAGAUCAAAAAGGAACAUCAAGUGUUGAUGGUGAAUAAAACCACUAAGUUCAAGAAAGGCAAGGGUAAGAAGAACUUCAAGAAGGACGACAAGGGAGUUGCCGCGCCCGGUAAGCCAGUUGCUGGGAAGAAGUCGAAGAAUGGACCCAAGCCUGAGACUGAGUGCUUUUAUUGCAAGGGAAGUGGUCACUAGAAGCGGAACUGCCCCAAAUACUUAGCGGACAAGAAGGCCGGCAACACCAAAGUUAUAUGUGAUAUACAUGUAAUUGAUGUGUACCUUACCAGUACUCGUAGUAGCUCCUGGGUAUUUGAUACCGGUGCGGUUGCUCAUAUUUGUAACUCAAAACAGGAACCGCGGAAUAAGCGGAGACUGGCGAAGGACGAGGUGACGAUGCGCGUCGGGAAUGGUUCCAAGGUCGAUGUGAUCGCCGUCGGCACGCUACCUCUGCAUUUACCUACGGGAUUAGUUUUAAACCUCAAUAAUUGUUAUUUAGUGCCAGCUUUGAGCAUGAACAUUGUAUCUGGAUCUCAUUUAAUUCGAGAUGGCUACUCAUUUAAAUCCGAGAAUAAUGGUUGUUCUAUUUAUAUGAGAGAUAUGUUUUAUGGUCAUGCCCCGCUGGUCAAUGGUUUAUUCUUGAUGAAUCUCGAACGUGAUGUUACACAUAUUCAUAGUGUGAAUACCAAAAGAUGUAAAGUUGAUAACGAUAGUCCCACAUACUUGUGGCACUGCCGCCUUGGUCACAUUGGUGUCAAGCGCAUGAAGAAGCUCCAUGCAGAUGGACUUUUGGAGUCUCUUGAUUACGAAUCUUUUGACACGUGCGAACCAUGCCUCAUGGGUAAGAUGACCAAGACUCCGUUCUCCGGAACAAUGGAGCGAGCAACCAACUUAUUGGAAAUCAUACAUACUGAUGUGUGCAGUCCAAUGAGUGUUGAGGCUCGCGGUGGCUAUCGUUAUGUUCUCACUCUCACUGAUGAUUUAAGUAGAUAUGGGUAUGUCUACCUAAUGAAACACAAGUCUGAAACCUUUGAAAAGUUCAAGGAAUUUCAGAGUGAGGUUGAGAAUCAACGUGACAGAAAAAUAAAGUUCUUACGAUCAGAUCGUGGUGGAGAAUAUUUAAGUCACGAAUUUGGUACGCACUUAAGGAAAUGUGGAAUCGUUUCACAACUCACGCCGCCUGGAACACCUCAGCGAAACGGUGUGUCCGAACGUCGUAAUCGCACUCUAUUGGAUAUGGUGCGAUCUAUGAUGUCUCUUACCGAUCUACCGCUCUCAUUUUGGGGCUAUGCUUUAGAGACUGCCGCAUUCACUUUAAAUAGGGCUCCGUCGAAAUCCGUUGAGACGACACCGUAUGAAUUAUGGUUUGGGAAGAAACCUAAGCUGUCGUUUCUAAAAGUUUGGGGAUGCGAUGCUUAUGUCAAGAAACUUCAACCUGAAAAGCUCGAACCCAAGUCGGAAAAAUGCGUCUUCAUAGGAUACCCCAAGGAAACUAUUGGGUAUACCUUCUACCUCAGAUCUGAAGGCAAGAUCUUUGUUGCCAAGAACGGGUCCUUUCUGGAGAAAGAGUUUCUCUCGAAAGAAUUGAGUGGGAGGAAAGUGGAACUUGAUGAGGUGAUAGUCACCCCUUCCGAACCGGAGAGUAGCGUAGCGCGGGAAGAUGUUCUUGUGGUGCCUACACCGACUGGGAAGGAAGUUAAUGAUGAUGAUCAUGAAGCUUCGGAUCAAGUUACUGCUGAACUUCGUAGGUCCACAAGGACACGUUCCGCACCAGAGUGGUACGGCAACCCUGUCCUGGAAAUCAUGUUGUUAGACAACGGUGAACCUUCGAACUAUGAAGAAGUGAUGGCGGGCCCGGAUUCCUACAAAUGGCUAGAAGCCAUGAAAUCCGAGAUAGGAUCCAUGUAUGAAAACGAAGUAUGGACUUUGACUGACUUGCCCGAUGAUCGGCGAGCCAUAGAAAAUAAAUGGAUCUUUAAGAAGAAGACAGACGCGGAUGGUAACGUGACCAUCUAUAAGGCUCGACUUGUCGCUAAGGGUUAUCGACAAGUUCAAGGGGUUGACUACGAUGAGACUUUCUCACCCGUAGCGAAGCUGAAGUCCGUCCGAAUCAUGUUAGCAAUUGCCGCAUACUAUGAUUAUGAGAUAUGGCAGAUGGACGUCAAAACGGCAUUCCUUAACGACUUCCUUAAGGAAGAAUUGUAUAUGAUGCAGCCGGAAGGUUUUGUCGAUCCUAAGAAUGCUGACAAAGUAUGCAAGCUCCAGGGCUCAAUCUAUGGGCUGGUGCAAGCAUCUCGGAGUUGGAACAUUCGUUUUGAUGAGAUGAUCAAAGCGUUUGGGUUUACACAGACUUAUGGAGAAGCCUGUGUUUACAAGAAAGUGAGUGGGAGCUCUGUAGCAUUUCUCUUAUUAUAUGUGGAUGACAUACUAUUGAUGGGAAAUGAUAUAGAAUUCUUGGAAAGUAUAAAGGCCUACUUGAAUAAGUGUUUUUCAAUGAAGGACCUUGGAGAAGCUGCUUAUAUAUUAGGCAUCAAGAUCUAUAGAGAUAGAUCAAGACGCCUCAUUGGUCUUUCACAGAGUACGUACCUUGACAAGAUAUUGAAGAAGUUCAAUAUGGAUCAGUCCAAGAAGGGGUUCUUGCCUGUAUUGCAAGGUGUGCAAUUGAGCACGGCUCAAUGCCCGACCACGGCAGAAGAUAGAGAAAAGAUGAGUGUCAUCCCCUAUGCCUCGGCCAUAGGGUCUAUUAUGUAUGCCAUGUUGUGUACCAGACCUGAUGUAAACCUUGCCGUAAGUUUGGUAGGAAGGUACCAAAGUAAUCCCGGCAUGGAACACUGGACAACGGUCAAGAAUAUCCUGAAGUACCUGAAGAGGACUAAGGAUAUGUUUCUCGUUUAUGGAGGUGACGAAGAGCUCGUCGUAAAGGGUUACGUCGACGCUAGCUUCGACACAGAUCUGGAUGACUCGAAGUCGCAAACCGGAUACGUGUAUAUUUUGAAUGGAGGAGCAGUAAGCUGGUGCAGUUGCAAGCAAAGCGUCGUGGCGGGAUCUACAUGUGAAGCGGAGUACAUGGCAGCCUCAGAGGCAGCGCAAGAAGCAAUCUGGAUGAAGGAGUUCAUUACCGACUUACGGGUGAUUCCCAAUGCGUCAGGCCCGAUGACCCUCUUCUGUGACAACACUGGAGCUAUUGCCCUUGCGAAGGAGCCUAGUGUUCAGAAUGGAGACAUAGAUAUUUGCAAAGUACAUACAGAUCUGAAUGUAGCAGAUCCGUUGACUAAACCUCUCCCUAGAGCAAAACAUGAUCAACACCAGAACGCUAUGGGUGUUCGAUUCAUCACAAUGUAACUGGAUUAUUGACUCUAGUGCAAGUGGGAGACUAUUGGAAAUAUGCCCUAGAGGCAAUAAUAAAUGGUUAUUAUUAUAUUUCUUUGUUCAUGAUAAUUGUCUAUUGUUCAUGCUAUAAUUGUGUUAUCCGGAAAUCGUAAUACAUGUGUGAAUACAUAGACCACAACGUGUCCCUAGUAAGCCUCUAGUUGACUAGCUCGUUGAUCAACAGAUAGUCAUGGUUUCCUGACUAUGGACAUUGGAUGUCAUUGAUAACGGGAUCACAUCAUUAGGAGAAUGAUGUGAUGGACAAGACCCAUUCCUAAGCAUAGCUCAAAGAUCGUGUAGUUCGUUUGCUAGAGCUUUUCCAAUGUCAAGUAUCUUUUCCUUAGACCAUGAGAUCGUGCAACUCCCGGAUACAGUAGGAGUGCUUUGGGUGUACCCAACGUCACAACGUAACUGGGUGACUAUAAAGGUACACUACGGGUAUCUCCGAAAGUGUCUGUUGAGUUGGCACGGAUCGAGACUGGGAUUUGUCACUCCGUAUGACGGAGAGGUAUCUCUGGGACCAGUCGGUAAUGCAUCAUCAUAAUGAGCUCAAUGUGACUAAGGAGUUAGCCACGGGAUCAUGCAUUACGGUACGAUUAAAGAGACUUGCCGGUAACGAGAUUGAACAAGGUAUUGGGAUACCGACGAUCGAAUCUCGGGCAAGUAACAUACCGUUUGACAAAGGGAAUUGUAUACGGGAUUGAUUGAAUCCUCGACAUCGUGGUUCAUCCGAUGAGAGCAUCGUGGAACAUGUGGGAGCCAACAUGGGUAUCCAGAUCCCGCUGUUGGUUAUUGACUGGAGAGGCGUCUCGGUCAUGUCUGCAUGUCUCCCGAACCCGUAGGGUCUACACACUUAAGGUUCGGUGACGCUACGGUUGUAGAGAUAUUAGUAUGCGGAAACCCGAAAGUUGUUCGGAGUCCCGGAUGAGAUCCCGGACGUCACGAGGAGUUCCGAAAUGGUCCGGAGGUGAAGAAUUAUAUAUGGGAAGUCCAGUUUCGGCCACCGGGAAAGUUUCGGGGGUUAUCGGUAUUGUACCGGGACCACCGGAAGGGUCCCGGGGGUCCACCGGGUGGGGCCACCUGUCCCGGAGGGCCCCAUGGGCUGAAAUGGGAAGGGAACCAGCCCUUAGUGGGCUGGGGCGCCCCCCUUUGGGCCUCCCCCUGCGCCUAGGGUUGGAAACCCUAGGGGUGGGGGGCGCCCCACUUGGCUUGGGGGGGAAGCCACCCCCCUUUCCCCUUGGCCGCCGCCCCCCCAUGUAGAUGGGUUCCAGGGCCGCCCCCCCCUCCAAGGGGCCUAUAAAUAGUGGGGGGGGGAGGGAGGGCAGCAAUACCACAGCCCCUGGUGCCUCCCUCUCCCCCUGCAACACCUCUCCCUCUCGCAGAAGCUUGGCGAAGCCCUGCCGAGAUCCUGCUACAUCCAUCACCACGCCGUCGUGCUGCUGGAUCUCCAUCAACCUCUCCUUCCCCCUUGCUGGAUCAAGAAGGAGGAGACGUCGCUGCUCCGUACGUGUGUUGAACGCUGAGGUGCCGUCCGUUCGGCACUCGGUCAUCGGUGAUUUGGAUCACGGCGAGUACGACUCCAUCAACCCUGUUCAUUGGAACGCUUCCGCUCGCAAUCUACAAGGGUAUGUAGAUGCACUCCUUUCCCCUCGUUACUAGUAUACUCCAUAGAUGGAUCUUGGUGAUGCGUAGGAAAUUUUAAAAUUCUGCUACGAUCCCCAAGAGUAACUGGAUACAACGAGCACAAAAUAGGAUCGUCACUCCCCCAAGAUCAAUAGAACCUCACGACAAGUGCAAGAGAGCAACCGAGUGUUCUAAAGACACUAGUGAAGCUCUCCAUGAUUUGUGCACUUCUUACAAUAUUUGCAUUAGGAUACCGAGUGCACAAAAUAGGAUCAUCACUCCCCGAAAAUCAAUAGAAACUCACAACAAUUGCAAGUGAGCAUAUAGGAAACAAAGCCUAGCACUUGCAACAAACAAAUGGUUGAGCAACAUAUAAAAGAGGCAACUUAAGAGUAGGCUCAACCAAAAUGAUGUGUGUGAGUCAUGGCAAAGCACUUGAGAAGACUAAUGUACGAAUGAGCAUUAAGCAUCAACAUAGUCUUGGAUAGUGGAGAUACAAGGUGCAUGACAUGUCCUCCCCACACACACCAAGCAAAAGGGUUCACAAGCACACUAAAAAUGCAAAAUGAAUAACCAACACUUGUGACAACCCAUGGUGAAGAUAGAAGAUGAAAGCCUCAUCAAGACGAGGGAUACCAAUUAAGAUGGCAAAAGCCUCGUAGAGAUAAGCAUGAGGAAAAUAAUCUUCACCACACAGGAGUGCAUCAAGAUGCAACGAGAUAAGACAUGCACUCAAGGCAAAAGCUUUCACGGAGCCACCAAAGAAAUAACAAGAAAGACAAGGUGGACGUGAAAGAAAGGAUAUCAUCUAGAGAUGUAAUUUCUCUCAAGUGUAUAAGGUUCUAGGUAGACGAGAUCAUGAUGAUAUAUAUCUACAAAGAAGGAUGUACAUCCGAAAUAGUUACAACACGAAGGAACAAGAUAUCCAAAAGGAAGUCAUAGAUAUACCAAUAAGAUAUUUGCUUGGAAGCAUAGCACAUGGCUAGAUAUGGUCUUAUUGUACAUAAAUGAAUUCCUACCACACAACCAUCAAAGACAUCACAACUAGCAACAAGAGAUCAUUGUUGGGAUGCUUUGAGAAAGGAAACAAGUAUCACAAGAGAGAAUGAAUAACAUGCCAUGAUACAACCUACACAAGGUUGAUGCAAGAAAUGUGUGCAUGAAGUAUAUGAAGAUACUUGUUACCGAGUUAACAUUGGAAGGAUGUAGUAGAUACCAAUUGAAGGUACAAAGUAGUUCAUUGAUCAUCCUAGCUUGACUCCAAAAAGCACAUGGUGACAACACCUUCCUUGUGAGUGAGCCGAGCAUCCAAUGCAUCUCCAAUUGUUCCUAGAACAACAACACAAACAAAAUGGUACCCAAACUCAUUGGGACCAAAGAGUUAGAAACACCAACAAUACAUAGGACAAACUCCACAUAAAUAUGUGCAUAUAGAUAUGGAAAUGAAAUUCAUGCACAUCUCAUCCAAUUUGAGACUUAGUGGAGUUUCCCCUAUAUAUUGGGUCAAAGAGAGAAAGCAUGCCACGGAAACUACAUGAAGUUAAUAUGCAUGCUCAAGACUUUCAAGAACCAAUACCAAAAUACAAGGAAAUACCAAGUGAAAAGAAUACCAAAUGGAGAAAUCAUCACUUGGAGAUAUCAUUAAAAGAUACAUCAAGGAAUGAGAUAUCCAUUGGAACCCACAAAAUGAUAUCAAACUCCCAAAAGAGAGGAUGGUUCCAAACAAACCAAGCUCUCUACAAAGUUUCAUGAUGGCACAAGUACCAAAAAGAAACGGCUUGCCGUCCACCAACACACACUUAAAAUGGAUCACAAGUUUAGUGUUUUAUAGAAAAUAGGAUAGCUCCCCCACGAGUUGUGCAUUAUAGAGAAUUUGCAUUUGAAUACAAAAUGCACAAGGUAGGAUCACCACGUUCACUAUAUCAAGGAAAACACUAGAUAAGAUCAAGAAAACAUCAAGAUCCUCAAGUGGCACGGAAGGCAAUGGGAGUUGACACAAACCUGGCAAGAGAUAAGGCAAAUAAAAAGCAAACGCCAACGUGAAGAUGAUCAAUAAUUUCUACCACACAUAAGUGAGUACCAAUUGUCAAAAGACAAGAAGUAUUUGGAAAUAAUUCCCGGUGGUAGAUAGCAAGGGUAUCCGACAUCAUCUUCACACCAAACACAAGCAAAUUGCAACUUGUAGAGCUAACAUGCCACGUAGGAACAAGAUAAUUUACAAUAUCAAUUCUAGGUGACAAUAUCUCAAAUGUACACAUUUUCUAGGCUAGUAAUAUACAUAGCAUAUUACUCCCCCAUAAUGUGAUACCAAUUAAAGAAAACUUAACAAGAGGCAAAAAGAGGAUCCAACAAGAGAUAAUUAAUGGACUAUUUAGAAUUUGAAUUUCUCAUGAGAAGACAUACCACAUAGUGACUAGAUAAGCUUGCAAUAUCAAUACUAGGUGGUAUUCCUCAUGUAAACACAUUUAUGGGACCGUGAGGUGCACAAAGAACAUCACUCCCCCAAAAUGGGAUGUUCCAUUAAUCUCUCACAAGAGCCAACUAACAUACAAACAAGAUGCGCAAAGGCUCAACGCACUACACACACGUACAUGAUGUGCAAACCAACACACACAUACUUGAUUACUCAAGAUAAGAAAAUUGGAGGCACAACAUAUACAACCACAUGCAAGGAACAAAACCAAAACAUGCAAAGGGGCAAGUAACUUUCAAUGUACAAUUUAAGUACAAAUUACCGGAAGGAGGCACAUUGGAUCUAGAAUAGAAACUUCAUAACCCAAUUGACUUGGCUUGAGACAAUAAGAAUGAUGAAGUCCCCUUAAAUCUUCAUAAUGUAGCCAAGUCUCCAAUGCCCUCCAACAACACCUAUUGAUCAAGUUUGAGCUAGUUGGUCCCCAACCAAGUUGGAUCCUAAGAGGUUAGUCACAAUAGGCUUGGCUACCCAAAUGGUUCUUUUCUUGAUGCCACUUUGAGCACCAACAAAUUUGGCAAACACAUUGCCAACCUUAUCCUUCCCAAGAGAAUAGAUAUCAUCAAUUAGAAUAGGGUUGGAUAAGGUACCAUUCGUGCAUGAAGAAGUGACGUGACCUUUUUCACGACAUAGGUAGCAACGUCUACUCUUCACUUUCUUCUCACUUGAUUUCUCAACUUGAGAAGCGUUAGAUUGAGUCUUCUUGGGAAGAGGCCUUUCUUCAACUUGAGGUUGAGCAUGAGAAUGCACUUGUAGCUGCUUCCCUUGUUGCUUGUCACUAAUGGCCUUCUUCUUCAAUGGGCAAGAUCUAACAUGGUGCCCUUCAAUUUUGCACUUGAAGCAAAUAAUCUUGGCCAAAUCCUUGACGUGUUCUUGGCCCUUCUUCUUGUUCAUCUUGGACUUCUUCUUGUUGUUGGAGUUGAAUCCAAGUCCACCUUUAUCAUUGGGGUAUUUUUGCACACUCAAGAUAUUGUUGAGUGUGGAUUUCCCUUCAUGACACUUUUCCAAGUCUUUCUUCAAAGAAGUGACUUGGGCCUUGAGCUCUUUGAUUUCCUCUACAUGGUUAGUCUCAACACAAGUACUAGAGAAAGUAUAAGCUUCAUCAUUGGAGCAACAAGGCAAGGAAAGCAAUUCAUCACAAGAUGUACCAAUGUUAUGCACAGACGAAUUACGAGGACUAGCACAAGGCAAUAUAGCAUUUUGACUAAAAGUAGUGCUAAUGUCCACAUGAGGCUCACUAGAUGUUACCUUAGCAAUCAUAGCCUCAUGAGCUAUUUUUAGCACAUUAUGGGAUACAAGAAGAUCAUCAUGAGAGCUAGAAAGCUUUUCAUGACUUCUUCCAAUUUUCCAUAAUUGCUAGAUAGCAACUCAAGUUGAGCCCUUAGCUCAACAUUCUCCUUUAAAAUGGAUGCUUCACAAGAAAUAGAGUUAGUAGCACAAGCAUCAUCAUUAACAACAAGAGGAGAAGGCAACUUGGCAAGCUCUUUUAAAUAAGAAGCUUCAAGUUGAGCAUGAGACUCGGUGAGUUUGAUGAGCUCACCCUUGACGACCCUUGAGCCAUUUUCGAGGUGCUCAAAAUCCUCAAGGAGUCUAGCAUUAGCAACUUCAAGCUUAGCAUUUUUAGUUUCAAAAACAUUGGCCACCUCAAGAGCUCUAUCAUGAGAUUCCUUCACUCUAGAUAACUCUAGAGCAAAAGUCUCCUCAAGAGAUUCCUUGGUGGUUUGUUCAAGUUCAAGAGCUUGAGAGAGGUCCGCAAUCUCAUUAGCGUAAUCACGCUCAUGACCUUCCAUUUUAUCAAUGGUGACCUCAUGCUCCUCAAGACGAGAUUCCAACUCAUCAAUAUAUUUCUUGCCCUCAAUAGCAAUAGACAUGAUUUCCAUGAAGUUGGAACGAGCAAUUUUAUUCUUAAGAAGGGCUUUAAAAAUUAUUUCCCCCUUAACUUUUAAGGAGGCAACAUCAUCAUUCUCUUCAUCAUAAUCGACAUCAUCAUCACUCUUGCCAUCAUCAAUAUUAUCACAAGAUAUAUUGGGAUUCAAAGUGGCAGAUACCUUUGAAGCCUUGGCCAUAAGGCAAAAAGCAAUCGAUGAUGAUGUAGGAUCCCUUGAAGCACCGUUCAAGACCACAUCUUGUUCCAUGAAGUGUUGGGUUUCCUCUACAUUGUUAGCACAACAACUCGAGGAAAUAGAUACAUUUUUAUCAUGGCAACAAGACAUAGCAAGCAUAUCAUCAUGAGAUUUGAGCAAGCAAUUUCUACAAGGUAUGCAAGAACUUUUAACACAAGCAUUUGAAACAUUUAGAGUGCUCGAAGUGUUAAAGUGCAAAGGUGAAGGAUUGCAAUAAUAAAGUGAUGAAGGAUCAUCAAAAAUAAGCUCACUAUAAUCAUUGCAAUGAACACCACUACUCACCAUAUCAUUACCUUGUGGCAAACCACAUGUAGGUGAAGUAGAAGAAGUUGAGAAUACUAUACGACCGGAGGUGGAAGGAGGACAAUCAUCUCCACAAAUCUCGGACACGCCAUAUUUGUCUUGAAGCUUUGUCCACAAAUCAUGAGCAUCCCGAAAUGGCAUGAGUUGAAAUAUAACUACAUUGCUCAAAGCAUCAAAAAGCACAUUAGAAGCUUGAGCAUUGAUAUAAGAGUUUUUCUCAUCCUCUAAAGAUAAUCUUUGUGGAUCCUUUGGAGGAGAAAAACCCAUAUCUACAAUUCGCUCCAAAUUUGGGUCCAUGACCCUAAAGAGAUUAAGCAUGCGAAUUACCCAAACAUCGAAAUUUGUGCCAUCGAAACUAAGAGUGUCAGAGAAUCCUAAACCCCUAGUCGACAUCCUUACUCUCUAGGCGGUUAAGCCCUAUAAAGAGAGACGAGGCUCUGAUACCAAUUGAAAGAUCGUCGAUGUCGCCUAGAGGGGGGGGUGAAUAGGCGCUUUAAAAUAAUUACGGUUGAGGCUUGAACAAAUGCGGAAUAAACCUAGCGGUUAAUUUGUCAAGCACAAAACCUACAACAACUAGGCUCACCUAUGUGCACCAACAACUUAUGCUAAGCAAGAAAACCUACUUAGGUGAUAGCAAGAUAUAUGACAAGAAACAAUAUGGCUAUCACAAAGUAAAGUGCAUAAGUAAAGGGCUCGGGUAAGAGAUAACCGAGGCACGCGGAGACGACGAUGUAUCCCGAAGUUCACACCCUUGCGGAUGCUAAUCUCCGUUUGGAGCGGUGUGGAGGCACAAUGCUCCCCAAGAAGCCACUAGGGCCAGCGUAAUCUCCUCACGCCCUCGCACAAUGCAAGAUGCCGUGAUUCCACUAAGGGACCCUUGAGGGCGGUCACCGAACCCGUACAAAUGGCAACCCUUGGGGGCGGUCACGGAACCCGUACACUUUGGCAACCCUUGGGGGCGGUCACCGGAACCCGUCAAAUUGCUCGGGGCAAUCUCCACAACCUAAUUGGAGACCCCGACGCUUGCCCGGAGCUUUACACCACAAUGAUUGAGCACCGAACACCACCAACCGUCUAGGGCGCCCAAGCACCCAAGAGGAACAAGCUCAAGGGUACCAAGCACCCAAGAGUAAUAAGCUUCUCAACUUGUAACUUCCACGUAUCACCGUGGAGAACUCAAACCGAUGCACCAAAUGCAAUGGCAAGGGCACACGGAGUGCCCAAGUCCUUCUCUCUCAAAUCCCACCGAAGCAACUAAUGCUAGGGAGGAAAAUGAGAGGAAGAACAAGAAGGAGAACACCAAGAACUCCAAGAUCUAGAUCCAAGGGGUUCCCCUCACAUAGAGGAGAAAGUGAUUGGUGGAAAUGUGGAUCUAGAUCUCCUCUCUCUUUUCCCUCAAAAACUAGCAAGAAUCCAUGGAGGGAUUGAGAGUUAGCAAGCUCGAAGAAGGUCAACAAUGGGGGAAGAACACGAGCUCCAAGGAUAAGGUUCAAUGGGGAAGAAGACCCCCUUUUAUAGGUGGGGAAAAAUCCAACCGUUAUGCUCACAGCCAGCACAGAGCGGUACUACCGCUAGGGCAGUAGUACCCCUUUGAAAAACAACAGCGAGGAGGCAAAAGGCCAGUAGAACCGCCGGAGCGGUACUACCGCUCGUCCCCAUGGUACUACCGCUCGACCUCACGGUACUACCGCAAGUGGUAGCGGUACUACUGCUUGCGAGCGGUACAAAAAAAAAA
rnacentral:lncRNA from 1 species